rnacentral:tRNA from 1 species
GGAGAGAUGCCGCAGCGGCUUAACGGAUCAGUCUUGGAAACUGGAGUAGGGGCAACGCUACCGGGGGAAAACCUCCUCUCUCAGCCA